rnacentral:rRNA from 1 species
UACAGAGGUCCCAAGCGUUGUUCGGAUUCAUUGGGCGUAAAGGGUGCGUAGGCGGUGCCGCAAGUCAGAUGUGAAAUCUCGGGGCUUAACCCCGAAACUGCAUUUGAUACUGCGGUGCUCGAGGACUGGAGAGGAGACUGGAAUUCACGGUGUAGCAGUGAAAUGCGUAGAGAUGUGGAGGAACACCGAUGGCGAAGGCAGCCCCCUGGGUUAACACUGACGCUCAGGCCCGAAAGCGUGGGGAGCAAACAGG